rnacentral:tRNA from 1 species
GGAGGCGUCGCAUAGUGGUCUAGUGCACCGCCUUGGAAAGGCGGCAGGCUCGAAAGGGUCUCGAGAGUUCAAAUCUCUCCGCCUCCG